UGAGAAGCCUUUCCCACAUUGCUGGUCAUC
rnacentral:piRNA from 1 species